AGCGAACGCUGGCGGCAGGCUUAACACAUGCAAGUCGAGCGGGCACUUUCGGGUGUCAGCGGCGGACGGGUGAGUAACGCGUGGGAACGUGCCCUCUGGUUCGGAAUAACUCGGGGAAACUUGAGCUAAUACCGGAUACGCCCUUUUGGGGAAAGGCUUGCUGCCGGAGGAUCGGCCCGCGUCUGAUUAGCUAGUUGGUGAGGUAACGGCUCACCAAGGCGACGAUCAGUAGCUGGUCUGAGAGGAUGAUCAGCCACACUGGGACUGAGACACGGCCCAGACUCCUACGGGAGGCAGCAGUGGGGAAUAUUGGACAAUGGGCGCAAGCCUGAUCCAGCCAUGCCGCGUGAGUGAUGAAGGCCUUAGGGUUGUAAAGCUCUUUUAUCCGGGACGAUAAUGACGGUACCGGAGGAAUAAGCCCCGGCUAACUUCGUG
rnacentral:rRNA from 1 species